CGAGUUCAAAACUCACACAGUCGUAAAUGAAAAGUUUUCGCCACUCUAGAAAUUGCGGUAAACUAAUAUGUUACACCACCAAAAAGUUGAAAAGAUUUAUGAGUUAUUUAGCGACUUUCAAUUAAUUUAUAUGUGUUGUUAAACAAGGAAAAUCGUCAACCCCUUUAUUUACGUUCGACUUUUAAAUUGACCAAAAUGUGUUUGGCUAGAAUUUUAUGACAUUUGCUGAACGCUUGCACUCAUAUUUAUAGAGUUAUAGGCAUACAAGCAUACAGCACGGGUCAAAAAAAUAAUAUCAGGGGGUAGAAAAGUAAUAAAUGAGGAGAUAUUAGUGAUUAAACAUGUAUGGGGUUUCAAAUUGUAGUUCUCAAUGAGUUGAUAUACAAUAAAAAUUUAUUAAUGCAGAAAAAUAUUCAUAUACCUUGUUUUUAAUCCUCCAUUAUAGUAAAAGAAAAUUAAAACGUUUUUUCGGAAAUUCAAAAAAAAAAAAAAAAUUAUAGAAAAUUCUAGUUUUUUAAGCAUAUGUGUGCCAUUACAGUCAUAGACCCGUGAGUGGACUGGGUGUAUGGGCGUCUUGUUUAACCAGACCGAUUGCCGAAGCCCGUCUUCGUGCCCGUCGUUAUCCUUAUCAGGCGAGUGUGUUUUGCCAGGCUUCUCCGCUGCCUUCGGGGUCCUUUAAACGAGCGGAUGGCGUCGCAGUCGCCUCAGUUCGUCGGCAGCAGUCCCACAGUGCGGAUGAAUCGAAAGCGGAACGCCGACCGCCGACCUUUGACAUCAGUUCGCUGGCGUACGCGAUUUUUGCCGCGCUGUCAACGCGAUUUAGAACGCUUUUGAUCCGUUGGUUUUUUGGUGCCGUAACUCGGACGGAAAAAAAACGAGAAAAAAAUAAACUAAAACAGUGUAAACAAGAGAGCAAGAGUUACAUGACUGAAAAUAAAGUAAAGCCUCCUCGUUCAAUAACAAAUCAAUUGAAAUAUGUAUACCCGCCUUGCUGGGUGCAUCCACGGUAAACAAGAGCUCGUCCCCAUGAUUGUUUGUUUGCAAACAUCGGAUUCGUUACCAGACCGAUUUUGCCUACAGUGCGUUUCGCAACUGAGUGACUCUGGUGACCACGAAAUUUGCAAACAAAAGUGGAUGACAAAUUCCAAAAACCUAAAGCAGCAUUUUUAAAAUGGGAUGCUAAGCUAAAAGCGUUACUUCCAAAUAAAUUCGAGAAUUUAUCUCCAUUUAAAUUGUGUUUUUUAGGUAAUUAAUCGUUUCUUCCUUGCUACGAAUCUUUAAAGUGACACAAGUUUUCAAAUGUAACGACUCGAAUCCAGAUGAUAUAUUGCAUCGAUGCCUCUCGUGCAGGCGCAUUAGGUUCGCUU